rnacentral:rRNA from 1 species
AGAACGAACGCUGGCGGCAUGCCUAAUACAUGCAAGUCGAACGAACACUUCGGUGUUAGUGGCGCACGGGUGCGUAACGCGUGGGAAUCUGCCCUUGGGUUCGGAAUAACAGUUGGAAACGACUGCUAAUACCGGAUGAUGACGAAAGUCCAAAGAUUUAUCGCCCAGGGAUGAGCCCGCGUAGGAUUAGCUAGUUGGUGAGGUAAAGGCUCACCAAGGCGACGAUCCUUAGCUGGUCUGAGAGGAUGAUCAGCCACACUGGGACUGAGACACGGCCCAGACUCCUACGGGAGGCAGCAGUAGGGAAUAUUGGACAAUGGGCGCAAGCCUGAUCCAGCAAUGCCGCGUGAGUGAUGAAGGCCUUAGGGUUGUAAAGCUCUUUUACCGAGAUGAUAAUGACAGUAUCGGAGAAUAAGCCCCGGACUAACUCCGUGCCAGCAGCCGC